UACGAAGGGGGCGAGCGUUGUUCGGAUUUACUGGGCGUAAAGGGCGCGUAGGCGGCGGACCAAGUCGAGUGUGAAAGCCCCGGGCUCAACCUGGGAGGUGCGCUCGAGACUGGUUUGCUAGAGUUCGGGAGAGGAGCGUGGAAUUCCCAGUGUAGAGGUGAAAUUCGUAGAUAUUGGGAAGAACACCGGUGGCGAAGGCGGCGCUCUGGACCGAGACUGACGCUGAGGCGCGAAGGCGUGGGGGAGCAAACAGG
rnacentral:rRNA from 1 species